AGAGUUUGAUCAUGGCUCAGGAUAAACGCUGGCGGCGCACAUAAGACAUGCAAGUCGAACGAACUUAACUCAUUCUUUACGAUUGAGAGCGGUUAGUGGCGGACUGGUGAGUAAUACGUAAGCAACCUGCCUAUCAGAGGGGAAUAACAGUGAGAAAUCAUUGCUAAUACCGCAUAUGCUAACAGUAUUGCAUGAUACAGUUAGGAAAGGAGCAAUCCGCUGAUAGAUGGGCUUACGCCUGAUUAGCUAGUUGGUGGGGCAACGGCCUACCAAGGCGACGAUCAGUAGCCGGACUGAGAGGUUGAACGGCCACAUUGGGACUGAGAUACGGCCCAGACUCCUACGGGAGGCAGCAGUCGGGAAUAUUGCGCAAUGGAGGAAACUCUGACGCAGUGACGCCGCGUAUAGGAAGAAGGUUUUCGGAUUGUAAACUAUUGUCGUUAGGGAAGAUAAAAGACUGUACCUAAGGAGGAAGCCCCGGCUAACUAUGUGCCAGCAGCCGCGGUAAUACAUAGGGGGCAAGCGUUAUCCGGAAUUAUUGGGUGUAAAGGGUGCGUAGACGGAGAGACAAGUUGGUUGUGAAAUCCCUCGGCUCAACUGAGGAACUGCAACCAAAACUAUUUCCCUUGAGUGUCGGAGAGGAAAGUGGAAUUCCUAGUGUAGCGGUGAAAUGCGUAGAUAUUAGGAGGAACACCAGUGGCGAAGGCGACUUUCUGGACGAUAACUGACGUUGAGGCACGAAAGUGUGGGGAGCAAACAGGAUUAGAUACCCUGGUAGUCCACACCGUAAACGAUGGAUA
rnacentral:rRNA from 1 species